rnacentral:rRNA from 1 species
UGGGGAAUUUUGGACAAUGGGCGAAAGCCUGAUCCAGCAAUGCCGCGUGUGUGAAGAAGGCCUUCGGGUUGUAAAGCACUUUUGUCCGGAAAGAAAUCCUUGGCUCUAAUACAGUCGGGGGAUGACGGUACCGGAAGAAUAAGCACCGGCUAACUACGUGCCAGCAGCCGCGGUAAUACGUAGGGUGCAAGCGUUAAUCGGAAUUACUGGGCGUAAAGCGUGCGCAGGCGGUUUGCUAAGACCGAUGUGGAAUCCCCGGGCUCAACCUGGGAACUGCAUUGGUGACUGGCAGGCUAGAGUAUGGCAGAGGGGGGUAGAAUUCCACGUGUAGCAGUGAAAUGCGUAGAGAUGUGGAGGAAUACCGAUGGCGAAGGCAGCCCCCUGGGCCAAUACUGACGCUCAUGCACGAAAGCGUGGGGAGCAAACAGGAUUAGAUACCCUGGUAGUCCACGCCCUAAACGAUGUCAACUAGUUGUUGGGGAUUCAUUUCCUUAGUAACGUAGCUAACGCGUGAAGUUGACCGCCUGGGGAGUACGGUCGCAAGAUUAAAACUCAAAGGAAUUGACGGGGUCAUAGCUGUUUCCU